rnacentral:rRNA from 1 species
GUGGGGAAUAUUGGACAAUGGGCGAAAGCCUGAUCCAGCCAUGCCGCGUGUGUGAAGAAGGUCUUCGGAUUGUAAAGCACUUUAAGUUGGGAGGAAGGGCAGUAAGUUAAUACCUUGCUGUUUUGACGUUACCGACAGAAUAAGCACCGGCUAACUUCGUGCCAGCAGCCGCGGUAAUACGAAGGGUGCAAGCGUUAAUCGGCAUUACUGGGCGUAACGCGCGCGUAGGUGGUUUUGUAAGUUGGAGGUGAAAUCCCCGGGCUCAACCUGGGAACUGCCUCCAAAACUGCAUGACUAGAGUACGGUAGAGGGUAGUGGAAUUUCCUGUGUAGCGGUGAAAUGCGUAGAUAUAGGAAGGAACACCAGUGGCGAAGGCGACUACCUGGACUGAUACUGACACUGAGGUGCGAAAGCGUGGGGAGCAAACAGGAUUAGAAACCCUUGUAGUCC